rnacentral:tRNA from 3 species
GCAUUAGUAGCUUAAUUAAAAGCAUUGGUCUUGUAAUCCAAAGACUGAGGGUUUAAUCCCCUCCUUAUGCC